rnacentral:rRNA from 1 species
UACGGGGGGUGCGAGCGUUGUCCGGAAUCACUGGGCGUAAAGGGCGCGUAGGUGGUUUGAUAAGGGUGUGGUGAAAGUCCGGAGCUCAACUCCGGAUCUGCCGUGCCGACUGUCAAACUCGAGGGCUGUAGAGGCAGACGGAAUUCCGGGUGUAGCGGUGGAAUGCGUAGAGAUCCGGAGGAAGACCGGUGGCGAAAGCGGCGCGCUGGACCUCUUCUGACGCUGAGGCGCGAAAGCCAGGGGAGCAAACGGG